rnacentral:tRNA from 1 species
GAGACGCAGGCCGAUCGGUUUAGGCAGUAGACUUUUAAUCUACCAUUGUUGGGUUCGAUUCCCAGGCGUUUCAC